CCUACGGGAGGCUGCAGUGGGGAAUUUUGGACAAUGGGCGCAAGCCUGAUCCAGCUAUUCCGCGUGUGGGAAGACGGCCUUCGGGUUGUAAACCACUUUUGUAGAGAAAGAAAAGUCUAUUGAUAAUACCGAUAGAUGAUGACGGUACUCUAAGAAUCAGCACCGGCUAACUACGUGCCAGCAGCCGCGGUAAUACGUAGGGUGCGAGCGUUAAUCGGAAUUACUGGGCGUAAAGGGUGUGCAGGCGGUUUGGCAAGAUGGAUGUGAAAGCCCCGGGCUUAACCUGGGAAAGCCAUACAUGACUGCAAGACUUGAGUGCGUCAGAGGGAGGUGGAAUUCCAAGUGUAGCAGUGAAAUGCGUAGAUAUUUGGAAGAACACCGAUGGCGAAGGCAGCCCCCUGGGACGCAACUGACGCUCAUACACGAAAGCGUGGGGAGCAAACAGGAUUAGAUACCCGUGUAGUC
rnacentral:rRNA from 1 species